rnacentral:rRNA from 1 species
AGCUCCAAUAGCGUAUAUUAAAGUUGUUGCGGUUAAAAAGCUCGUAGUUGGAUCUGCGGCCUGGGAGGCCGGUCCCCCACAGGGUGCGACUGGUCGACCCGGGCCUACCUCGCCGGUCAUCCCGCGGUACCCUUUACUGGGCGCCACGGGUGGCCGGCAAGUUUACUUUGAAAAAAUUAGAGUGCUCAAAGCAGGCGCGUAGCCUGAAUAGUGGUGCAUGGAAUAAUAGAAUAGGACCUCGGUUCUAUUU